rnacentral:tRNA from 415 species
GGGCGCGUAGCUCAGCGGUAGAGCACACCCUUCACACGGGUGGGGUCACAGGUUCAAUCCCUGUCGCGCCCACCA